GAGGAAUAUUGGACAAUGGGUGGAAGCCUGAUCCAGCCAUCCCGCGUGAAGGACGACGGCCCUAUGGGUUGUAAACUUCUUUUGUACAGGGAUAAACCUCCCCUCGUGAGGGGAGCUGAAGGUACUGUGCGAAUAAGCACCGGCUAACUCCGUGCCAGCAGCCGCGGUAAUACGGAGGGUGCAAGCGUUAUCCGGAUUUAUUGGGUUUAAAGGGUCCGUAGGCGGGCCCGUAAGUCAGUGGUGAAAUCUCGCAGCUUAACUGCGAAACUGCCAUUGAUACUGCGGGUCUUGAGUGAAUUUGAAGUGGCUGGAAUAAGUAGUGUAGCGGUGAAAUGCAUAGAUAUUACUUAGAACACCGAUUGCGAAGGCAGGUCACUAAGAUUCAACUGACGCUGAGGGACGAAAGCGUGGGGAGCGAAC
rnacentral:rRNA from 1 species